rnacentral:lncRNA from 1 species
UUCUCUCUUAUUUCGACAACUCAUCCAACUAAAGAUUUAUUGUUGAAUUCUUAUUGGACAAAUUAUAGAUAGGAGGGAAUGCAAAUCUGUUGGAAAUUAAUGAAGUCUCACAUCGGAUAAAAUCUUGAGACUAUUUAAAAGUAAGGUGAGAUAAAAGUCCAAAUAAGUUUAAAUUAGACCCUUUGCAUCUUGAACAUCAAGAUAAGAACUAUUAAAACCCAAUAUGCAAAACACUCUAAUUGGGCAUGUGCUAAAAAUAUUCAUAUGUUUAAUUAAUUCUCAAAACUUAACUACUAAUUUAAUGUGUAAUUCUCAAAAGUUAACUAAUUAAAUUACCUGCAAGAUGAAGGAGAAUCAGGCCAUUUGUUAUAAUCCUUGAGUGAAGAAGGAAGAUAGUGC